rnacentral:rRNA from 1 species
AGCAGUCAUGCAGGCAAAACCGCAUGAAAAAUGUAAAGCGUUAUGUGGAUCGAACAUUAGUAGAGAAGCGUGUGAGCCAGCUGCCAAGAAAAGCCGCUAUUGCUUCAUAAGUACCCGUACCGUAAACCGACACAGGUGGAUGAAGAGAGAAUCCUAAGGCCGGCGGGAGAAGUGUUGUUAAGGAACUCGGCAAAAUGACUCCGUAACUUCGGGAGAAGGAGUGCCACAGAGAUGUGGCCGCAGAGAAAUGGCCCAAGCAACUGUUUAGCAAAAACACAGGUCUAUGCAAAACCGAAAGGUGAGGUAUAUGGCUGACGCCUGCCCGGUGCUGGAAGGUUAAGAGGAGAGGUUAGAGCAAUCGAAGCUUUGAAUUUAAGCCCCAGUAAACGGCGGCCGUAACGAUAACGGUCCUAAGGUAGCGAAAUUCCUUGUCGGGUAAGUUCCGACCCGCACGAAAGGCGUAAUGAUUUGGGCACUGUCUCAACAACACACCCGGUGAAAUUGAAAUACCAGUGAAGAUGCUGGUUACCUGCGCCAGGACGGAAAGACCCCAUGGAGCUUUACUCCAGUUUGAUACUGGGAUUCGGUACUGUCUGUACAGGAUAGGUGGGAGGCUAGGAAAUGGUGACGCCAGUUGCCAUGGAGCCAACCUUGGGAUACCACCCUUACAGUACUGGGUUUCUAACCUGCAGCCGUGACCCGGCUGGGGGACAAUGUCUGACGGGGAGUUUGACUGGGGCGGUCGCCUCCGAAAGAGUAUCGGAGGCGCUCAAAGGUUCCCUCAGAACGGUUGGAAACCGUUCGAAGAGUGCAAAGGCAGAAGGGAGCUUGACUGCGACACCGACGGGUGGAGCAGAUACGAAAGUAGGACUUAGUGAUCCGGUGGUAUAAAGUGGGAUUGCCAUCGCUCAACGGAUAAAAGCUACCCUGGGGAUAACAGGCUUAUCACUCCCAAGAGUUCACACCGACGGAGUGGUUUGGCACCUCGAUGUCGGCUCAUCGCAUCCUGGAGCUGUAGCAGGUUCCAAGGGUUGGGCUGUUCGCCCAUUAAAGCGGUACGCGAGCUGGGUUCAGAACGUCGUGAGACAGUUCGGCCCCUAUCCGGCGUGGGCGUAGGAUAUUUGAGAGGAGCUGUCCUUAGUACGAGAGGACCGGGAUGGACAAACCUCUGGUGUAUCUGUUGUUUUACCAAAGGCAUGGCAGAGUAGCCAAGUUUGGCAGGGAUAAACGCUGAAGGCAUCUAAGCGUGAAGCCCCCCUCAAGAUAAGAUAUCCCAUCUUCGGAGUAAGACCCCUUGAAGACUACAAGGUUGAUAGGCUUCAGGUGUAAGUGUGGUAACGCACUCAGCUGAGAAGUACUAAUAGGUCGAGGACUUAUCUAA